rnacentral:rRNA from 1 species
GGCGGGACACGUGGUAUCCUGUCUGAAUAUGGGGGGACCAUCCUCCAAGGCUAAAUACUCCUGACUGACCGAUAGUGAACCAGUACCGUGAGGGAAAGGCGAAAAGAACCCCGGCGAGGGGAGUGAAAAAGAACCUGAAACCGUGUACGUACAAGCAGUGGGAGCACAGGUUUACCUGUGUGACUGCGUACCUUUUGUAUAAUGGGUCAGCGACUUAUAUUCUGUAGCAAGGUUAACCGAAUAGGGGAGCCGGAGGGAAACCGAGUCUUAAUUGGGCGUUAAGUUGCAGGGUAUAGACCCGAAACCCGGUGAUCUAGCCAUGGGCAGGUUGAAGGUUGGGUAACACUAACUGGAGGACCGAACCGACUAAUGUUGAAAAAUUAGCGGAUGACCUGUGGCUGGGGGUGAAAGGCCAAUCAAACCGGGAGAUAGCUGGUUCUCCCCGAAAGCUAUUUAGGUAGCGCCUCGUGAAUUCAUCUCCGGGGGUAGAGCACUGUUUCGGCUAGGGGGCCAUCCCGGCUUACCAACCCGAUGCAAACUGCGAAUACCGGAGAAUGUUAUCACGGGAGACACACGGCGGGUGCUAACGUCCGUCGUGAAGAGGGAAACAACCCAGACCGCCAGCUAAGGUCCCAAAGUCAUGGUUAAGUGGGAAACGAUGUGGGAAGGCCCAGACAGCCAGGAUGUUGGCUUAGAAGCAGCCAUCAUUUAAAGAAAGCGUAAUAGCUCACUGGUCGAGUCGGCCUGCGCGGAAGAUGUAACGGGGCUAAACCAUGCACCGAAGCUGCGGCAGCGACGCUUAUGCGUUGUUGGGUAGGGGAGCGUUCUGUAAGCCUGUGAAGGUGGCCUGUGAGGGUUGCUGGAGGU